rnacentral:rRNA from 2 species
GCAUAUCAAUAAGCGGAGGAAAAGAAACCAACAGGGAUUGCCUCAGUAACGGCGAGUGAAGCGGCAACAGCUCAAAUUUGAAAUCUGGCCCCCGGCCCGAGUUGUAAUUUGCAGAGGAUGUUUCUGGCGAGGUGCCUUCCGAGUUCCCUGGAACGGGACGCCAUAGAGGGUGAGAGCCCCGUACGGUUGGUCGCUAAGCCUCUGUGAAACUCCUUCGACGAGUCGAGUAGUUUGGGAAUGCUGCUCUAAAUGGGAGGUAUACGUCUUCUAAAGCUAAAUACCGGCCAGAGACCGAUAGCGCACAAGUAGAGUGAUCGAAAGAUGAAAAGCACUUUGAAAAGAGGGUUAAAUAGUACGUGAAAUUGUUGAAAGGGAAGCGCUUAUGACCAGACUUGGGCCGGUUGAUCAUCCAUCGUUCUCGGUGGUGCACUCUGCCGGCUCAGGCCAGCAUCAGUUCGGCGCGGGGGAUAAAGGCUUCGGGAAUGUGGCUCCUCACGGGGAGUGUUAUAGCCCGCUGCGUAAUACCCUGGGCUGGACUGAGGUACGCGCUCCGCAAGGAUGCUGGCGUAAUGGUCAUCAGUGACCCGUCUUGAAACACGGACC